rnacentral:rRNA from 1 species
ACACUGACGUCGCGAUGCAUAUCAAUAAGCGGAGGAAAAGAAACUAACAAGGAUUCCCUUAGUAACGGCGAGUGAAGCGGGAAGAGCUCAAAUUUGAAAUCUUCAAGGUUCUACCUUGACGAAUUGUAGUUUAAAGAAGUGUUUUCUGUUAGUGGAGUGGCAAAAGUUCUUUGGAAUAGGACAUCAUAGAGGGUGAGAAUCCCGUAUUUGGUCAUUCCUUCUAGCUUUGUGAUACACUUUCAAAGAGUCGGAUUGUUUGGGAAUGCAGUCCAAAAUGGGUGGUAAAUUUCAUCUAAAGCUAAAUAUUGGCGAGAGACCGAUAGCGAACAAGUACCGUGAGGGAAAGAUGAAAAGAACUUUGAAAAGAGAGUUAAACAGUACGUGAAAUUGUCAAAAGGGAAGCGUUUGACACCAGUGUUGUUUUUCCGAAAAUCAAUUAUAAAUGUUUUGUUUCUGAGGAGUGAUGACUUCAUCGGCUUCCUUCUCUCUUCACGAAACUUUUGUAAUGCACUUUUCGGUUAACAAGUCAACAUCAAUUUCUUUUGUUGUAAAAGAGUAUUCGGAAGGUGGCUUUCUUUUCGGAGAAAGUGUUUAUAGCCCUAUACUUCUACAAUCGGAGAGAUUGAGGUCUGCAGCGUAGAUCCUUCGGGGUUAGAUACACUUGUGCUAAGUUAUAGCUUUUCAUAGACAACUUGUUGACUAUGUUUAGUCUUGUAGCUUACUCGCUUGUGCUAUUUUACCUACGCUUAGGAUGUUGAGUCGUAGAGCACGCAG